rnacentral:rRNA from 1 species
GAUGAACGCUGGCGGCGUGCUUAACACAUGCAAGUCGAACGGAAAGGCUCCUGCUUGCAGGGGUACUCGAGUGGCGAACGGGUGAGUAACACGUGGGUGAUCUGCCCUGCACUUCGGGAUAAGCCUGGGAAACUGGGUCUAAUACCGGAUAGGACGAUGGUUUGGAUGCCAUUGUGGAAAGUUUUUCGGUGUGGGAUGAGCUCGCGGCCUAUCAGCUUGUUGGUGGGGUAAUGGCCUACCAAGGCGUCGACGGGUAGCCGGCCUGAGAGGGUGUGCGGCCACAUUGGGACUGAGAUACGGCCCAGACUCCUACGGGAGGCAGCAGUGGGGAAUAUUGCACAAUGGGCGCAAGCCUGAUGCAGCGACGCCGCGUGGGGGAUGACGGCCUUCGGGUUGUAAACUCCUUUCGCUAGGGACGAAGCGCAAGUGACGGUACCUGGAGAAGAAGCACCGGCUAACUACGUG